ensembl:lncRNA
CGAGGAUAGAGUAGAGUAAAAAGUGGAUCUGGGAAGGAAUGAUCUCUGGAUUUUUAUGGAGACUUUAUGUGCAUAAAUUGCACUUUAUACUGGAGAGAUGGGGGCAGAGGCAUCCCCAUCCUGAUUUCCAGCCAGUGGGGAACAGAUCACAGGCCUCUCGAGCAAAGAGCCUACCUGCACAUCUUUUACUGCUAGAACAGAGCAUAAACAAAUUUACACAGCCCAUAAAUGGGAAUGCUGAGGACAACGGCACCUGGCACCGGCUUACUGAGCAGCUUGAGCAGGAGCUGAGUGAGGGCCACUAUUAUAUUGCAGGCACUGUUAAAUACCAGUAUUUCUUUUGUUUUGGUACUUGUCCACUGAACUCUCCUAGGCUUUAAAAGGUGAGAAGACUUUUUUAUUAUUAUUAUUAUUUUUUCUAGAAGAGUUUUAGAUAGUGAAAAUGCAUUGUGUUCUCCAAGUAGACUGGGCAUUUAUUGGAUGCAAGCACAUUUUUGUCCUGCAGUAUCAUAGUCUGAGAUGUUAUAACGUAAAUUUUAUCCUUUCUGUAAGAUGCUACAUACUGUUUCAAUGUUUUAAAAUUUACAUUCUAAAAGUAUACUGAAAGCAUAUACAUCUUCUCUGUGUUUUAAAAAGAAGCAGUAUGCAAUACUAAUGCAAACAAAGGAGAUUUGCAUGAAGUGUAACUUGAACGCAACUAAGAUCCUAAGAGGUAAAACAUGAACUCUCACACUAUAUAUCAGCAAUGCUCCAUAAAUAAGAGACAUUCAUAUUUCAGACAUUUUUUAUGUUUUUGAGUUAGAUCAUUAAUUAAUUAAUUAAUUAAUUUAUCUUUGAGAAGGGUUCUAAAGAAGAAAAAAAAAAAAAGUACUUUUCACAAUUUACCAUCAUUUUAUGCCUUUCUGAUAGCUUUUCUUUUCUCUGUCUCUACCCAUGCAUUUUCUUUGGGUGUUUAACAGUUCCCUCAGGGCAGGACCAAUUAUUUAUGACAUACUUCUCCAUGUAAGAUUUAUUUGGGAAAACUGUUCCUAUGGAAACUGCUGUUUUCAAACAGGCUUCUAUUAACUUCAAACAAUAGGACUGCAUAUGCAAUAGAGAAUACAUCUUUUAUUAGCAGGCAUAUUUUAAUGAAUUUGACAACCAAAUAACUUGCUCAGAGGAGCAAAAUGAGAUAUAUUCUGUGAUAUGAUCAAGUGGGCAUUCAGUCGUCAGCUGGUAACUACAGGGAAUUAGAGUAGCUCAGUUCAUUUUACCAAAGUCCAUUUUGUAGGCCUUUUAAAAUUUCAGAACAAAGCUUUUUAAAAUAUCGGUCAGAAUCCUCCAUUGGAAUGCUAUGAAAAAGCAACAACACCUUACUUACAAGUAAAAUACUGAAGACUUUAUUUCAGAAACAUAAAAUUUUAUCUGUAUGAAAUACUGACACUGCAAGGCUUUGGCACUAAAAGUAGAUUGACAGGCCAGGAUGCUACAGACACUUUUGAUUUCUGUGGCUUCAGGAUCAAGCUCUUAUAAUUACAUUUUCUCUUUGUGGUAUUUUUCAGUUUAUUCUCGUCUCACUGUACCUCUUGUUUAUCUUCUCUUCUUUGUAGUCCCCCAGAUGAAAUGAAAUGUAGUUCAGCAGCAGCAUAGCCCAUCUGAGCAGGUCUUUAAUGAAAUAUAUAUAUAUAUAUAUAUAAAAGAUCUUUUCUAUCUGCCUGAACAAAUAAUUUGACUUAAAAAAAAGGCAUUUAAGAGACUACUUCAUUAAUUACGUUGGUGGCAUUAUAAGGUUUCUAGAGCUGUAAAAUCUUGUAAUAAUCUAGUCAGGAACUGGUAAGGGCAGGUGGAUGGGGACAGCAUAACAACAUCCCAGUCCUCCAGUUAGGACUCUUCCUUUGAGUCUGUGCAGAAGCUAAUGAUUUUAAUACAAAGGCCUCUGCUACUAGCCUUAGCACAGACAGCCUGGUAACACUUGUUUACGUUCUGACUCAUCUUGUUAAGAGAGAUUCAGAAAAUAUCAAUUCUGCUUUCCUUCUGGAAAUGCAUUCUGUACACUUAAGUGGCCGUUCUGUUAUUUAAAUGAUUAGCCAAGAGUGCUUCAUUUUUAAAAGGAAUGAAUUCAGACGGAGACUGAAUAAACUCCAAGGCCACGAUGUGUAAGGGAAAAAA